GAUCGAAUAUUCUUAUACUAAUAUCAAGAAUAUACCUAAACUAAAAUCUAAACAUACAUAUGGCGAUGGCGAUGGCGACGGCGAUAACUUUCUAGGGUUUCCAUGCUUUUUCGACGACGGGAUCCGGGCAAUCAGUGGAGGAUACAGGAUCGAGUAGAUCUUUGCCAGGACGACAAGAUCAGAGUGACAUAGAAUCGACAAGGGUAUAUGGUUACAAGGGUUUUACCGAAAUCGCUACGAGAUUUCUCGGAUUCACGAAGGAUUUUUUUGGUAUACGGGGAAGAUUGGGAUUGAUAGGCUUCGGCUAUCAUUAAGAGGCACAUCACAGGAGGAGCUAGAUCGGUCUUGCAGCGGCUCAAAAAGGGAAAUAAGUCCUUUGCGCAAUAUACGAGAGGAACCACAUGAAGAAGGAGAGAUUCAGGAGAACGUGUUACGAAGCGUUCAAAAGGGGGAGGAGCAGAUAACUAAGCCAAUCCCUUCAUUGCCCAGCUGGAAACAAACCUGGCUCAAACAGACCCUACAGAGCAAGACAAUUUCUCUGCCUGGCUUCAUCAACCCAGUUGCAGAGAUCCAGCUUGGGUAUUACAACGGCUAUGGAACUCUUCUUCAUGGUGGCACAGGUGGACGAUAUGGUAUCAAUAAAGCUUGAUGUUUAUCAUCAUCCUGUUGUAAUUACAAUUCUUUCAGAACAAAUGAGGAGUACGUAUGAUGUUUGGAUGGUAUAUAUGGUCAAUGGAAAGAGUUUCAGGAAAGGAAACAAUUCUGUUACUGAUCUGAGCGGAAGAGGGGCCGAGAGAACAUGGUCUCUGGUUUACGUAAAUUGGUUUGCUACGGAUUAUUAUUCGUAUAAUGCACUAGAGUUUGAUUUUGGGGAUGGGUUAUAUUUUCUAAUACAAACCUUCUUGUGGAAGCGGUUUUCUUUGGUCUGGAGGCUCAGGGAUGCAAAAGGUCGAGGGAUUUUACAAAUCCGGUUACGUAGUGACGGCAUGAGACAUCUUACUAUGCUACUUCUCAUGUGUUUGGCCUCCUUAAGUCAAACACAUACACUAUUGAAGUACACUGAGAAAACGGUUAUGGGUGUGGAUUAUGGGUGCAUGGUUUUUCAAAUGAUGUUAAUAUGGUCUGUUUCUGAUGAUUUUGUCAAGUUGGAAAUGUUUGGUAUGGAGUGGACUCAACAGUUAAUGCAAAUAUGGAGUGUUUAUUUUGAUCAAGGCAACUGUAUGGAUAUUUCUCAGUCGUGGUCUUUGUGGAAAUAUUAUGUUGAUACAAAUGAUAUUUCUUAAGUACUCUUGGGUCGUCUCGUUAUGUGUUGUUCAAGAUGUUGCGUUUGUCGGGUCCAUUAUAUUAAUGCUUCCAAAUUUAUCAUCUUGGGUGGAAAAUGUAUUAGCCUUAUGCUCCCUUAUUGAUUAUAUUUUUUAUCGGAAAA